rnacentral:lncRNA from 1 species
ACCAUACAGAGAGUUACUCACUCUGGGGGAAGUUCUGGUCCCAUGGGGCCAAGCCAUCUUUUGGAAGGCAAUCACAGAAGACUGCUUCUGGACCACACAGGUGCAGAAGGUUGAAGCUGUCGGGAAACAUCUGUUCAAUAGGAAAAGGACCUCUUCCUCUUGGCAGGAGCCAUUGUGCACCCGUCACCCAGAGCCCGCCUCCCGGCACCUGGCUGCCCACCCACCUUCAUCAGAAUCCACCAUCACCUGUCUCCAUCUCCGCCAAGCUCUCACCGGUGGUUCUCAGUUCCCAAGCUAGCUUUUCUGGGCAGGCUGGCCAUUCUCCCUUCCUCAGCGUGACUUAUUCACUGGGAACCGGUCCAGGGUUUUAUUGCAUAGCCCUGGGUGUCCUGGAACUCACUCUGAAGAGCAGGCUGGCCUUGAAUUCUGUCUUCUAAGUGCUGGGAUAAAAGGUAUGCACCACCACCGCCUGGCUUCUUCCUUCCUUCCUUCCUCCCUCUCCCACCUUACACCCAAAGGUCUCACUGUAGCCCUGGUGGCUAUCGCCAAAGACACUCUGAAGGCCUGUUUGGUUUUUUUGUUUGUUUAUUUGUUUUGUUUUUGUUUUUUUCCUCUGCUUUCUGAAUUCUGAAAUUAAGAUGUUCAUUACUAUCCCUAGCUGGAGUUUAGUUGAGAUUGGUUGACCUACCCUAACUGUGGGUGUCACCUUUCCAUGGGCUGGGAGGCCCAGAUUGAAUAUCAAGGAGGACUGGAAGUGAGUAUGAGCUCUCAUCUCUCUGCUUCUUGGCUGCUGAUGCAAUGUGGGUGGAUGCGUUAAGUACCCACUGCUCUACCUUCCCCACCAUAAUGCACUGCAUUAUGAAACUAUGAGCCCAAAUAAACCCACCCUGUGUCACGGCUGUCAGCCAUUUUGAAAUCACAAUGGGAAGAGUAGCCAAUGCAUGCAGGAAUCCUGAUAAAUCUGAAUCUGUACAGCUUCCACUAAAACAGGGAAAGAUGUCCAUUUACACAGUGGUAUCUGGCAGUUCCUCACUGAAGAGAAUUCAGCUUUGACCAGGAAUCAAGAUUACAGUCAUCCACUUGAUAUGUGUGGUGACCAGACAGGCUCUCAGCGACGAGCCUUGGCUCUCUACUGUUCCAUGUUUUUCCUCCACUCACCAUAUUUCUGGUGGCAAACCCCAGAAGGCCCUAAAGAUGGUCACACAUUACAUAUCCAUGUCCUCCUUCCUAUAAGCCACCGCAGCAGCCAGCCUACCUACAGACUUAAGAAAGCAGCUGGAAAUGCUCUAAGUACAAGCGUGUGCCCUCCACUCACUCCUACCAGCCCAGUGGAAAUGAACAGCGAAUGCCCUGGUUGCAAUCACCUUAGUCAAUGCAUUGUCUACAGAGUUUACUGGACUGUAGCAGCGUGGUGCUCAUGGAGGGCCUCUGUGGGACAUGGGGAUGGAGGCCUUGGAAGCUUUAGCUUCUCCACACUUAGGACAACUCAUUCCUGUGGGCUGUCUCCCCAUGGCCAGGGUCAGGCCCUCACUCAAAAGCUGUUUUGUCUGUCUAUCUAUGUCCGGAUGACUUUGGUUUACAGGGGCAGAAACUCACAAGAACAAGGAAGGAUAGACUCGUUCCCUCAGUGCAGAGUCACGGACAGUGGGGAAACAGUGCAAGGCCUCUUUGUCUCUUUGCUUCCCCUCAGUUCUC